rnacentral:rRNA from 1 species
GACGAACGCUGGCGGCGUGCUUAACACAUGCAAGUCGAACGGUAAGGCCCUUCGGGGUACACGAGUGGCGAACGGGUGAGUAGCACGUGGGUGAUCUGCCCUGCACUUCGGGAUAAGCCUGGGAAACUGGGUCUAAUACCGGAUAGGACCACUGCCUGCAUGGGUGGUGGUGGAAAGCUUUUGCGGUGUGGGAUGGGCCCGCGGCCUAUCAGCUUGUUGGUGGGGUGAUGGCCUACCAAGGCGACGACGGGUAGCCGGCCUGAGAGGGUGACCGGCCCAACUGGGACUGAGAUACGGCCCAGACUCCUACGGGAGGCAGCAGUGGGGAAUAUUGCACAAUGGGCGCAAGCCUGAUGCAGCGACGCCGCGUGAGGGAUGACGGCCUUCGGGUUGUAAACCUCUUUCAGCACCGACGAAGCGCAAGUGACGGUAGGUGCAGAAGAAGGACCGGCCAACUACGUGCCAGCCGCCGCCGUAA